rnacentral:rRNA from 1 species
AUUGAACGCUGGCGGCAUGCUUUACACAUGCAAGUCGAACGGCAGCACGGGGCAACCUGGUGGCGAGUGGCGAACGGGUGAGUAAUACAUCGGAACGUGCCCAAUCGUGGGGGAUAACGUAGCGAAGGUUACGCUAAUACCGCAUACGAUCUACGGAUGAAAGCGGGGGAUCGCAAGACCUCGCGCGAAUGGAGCGGCCGAUGUCAGAUUAGGUAGUUGGUGGGGUAAAGGCUCACCAAGCCAACGAUCUGUAGCUGGUCUGAGAGGACGACCAGCCACACUGGAACUGAGACACGGUCCAGACUCCUACGGGAGGCAGCAGUGGGGAAUUUUGGACAAUGGGCGCAAGCCUGAUCCAGCCAUUCCGCGUGCAGGAUGAAGGCCUUCGGGUUGUAAACUGCUUUGUACGGAACGAAAUGACGGUACUUGCAGAAGAAGGUAGCGGCCAACUACGUGCCAGCAGCCGCGGUAAU